GUACAUGCCUACAUCAUUAAUGCGCAUGAUCCUAUCAAAAAUCCACAUUUAAGUGCACAUGGGCUAGAGUAGUAUUGGGAUGGGUAACCUCUUGAGAGGCCCUAGUGUUUUAUGUGCC
rfam:Picea glauca, whole genome shotgun sequence.